rnacentral:rRNA from 1 species
AUGGCGACGCACUUCGUGCUCAACACCGGCGCCAAGAUCCCCUCCGUGGGGCUCGGCACCUGGCAGUCCGACCCCGGCAUCGUCGGCGAGGCCGUCUACGCCGCCGUCAAGGCGGGGUACCGGCACAUCGACUGCGCCAGGGCCUACAACAACGAGAAGGAGGUGGGUUUGGCUCUGAAGAAGCUGUUUGAAGAGAGUGUAGUCAAGCGUGAGGAUCUGUUUAUCACCUCUAAGCUAUGGUGUGGUCAUCAUGCCCCAGAAGAUGUGCCUGAGGCACUUGGGGAUUCUCUCGAUGACUUGCAGCUUGACUACUUGGAUCUUUACCUUAUCCAUUGGCCAUUUAGAGUCAGGAAGGGAACAAGCAUUGGCAACCCUGAAAACUUCUUACCACCUGACAUCCCAGCUACAUGGGGAGCAAUGGAGAAGUUACAUGAUGCUGGCAAAGCUCGUGCAAUUGGUGUGAGUAACUUCGCGUCGAAGAAAUUGGGUGACUUGCUUGCUGUAGCUCGCAUACCUCCGGCUGUUGACCAGGUGGAGUGCCAUCCUGGUUGGCAGCAAUCUAAACUCCAUACCUUUUGUCAGUCGGCCGGUGUUCACCUCUCUGCGUACUCACCACUAGGUUCGCCUGGUUCAACAUGGAUGAAUGGUAAUGUCCUCAAAGAACCCGUCGUCCUCUCAAUUGCAGAGAAGCUUGGCAAAACUCCUGCACAAGUGGCGUUGCGCUGGAACAUUCAGAUGGGUCACAGUGUACUGCCAAAGAGCGUGAGUGAAGAACGGAUAAAGCAGAACCUUGCUGUUUAUGACUGGUCUAUUCCAGAAGACUUGCUUGCAAAGUUCUCUGAGAUUAAGCAGGCCAGGCUUCUCAUGGGCAACUUCAUCGUCAACAAAGACAGCGUUUACAAGACCCACGAUGAGCUCUGGGACGGCGAAAUCUAG